AAACUUAAAGGAAUUGACGGGGACCCGCACAAGCGGUGGAUGAUGUGGUUUAAUUCGAUGCAACGCGAAAACCUUACCCACCUUUGACAUGUACGGAAUCCUUUAGAGAUAGAGGAGUGCUCGAAAGAGAGCCGUAACACAGGUGCUGCAUGGCUGUCGUCAGCUCGUGUCGUGAGAUGUUGGGUUAAGUCCCGCAACGAGCGCAACCCUUGUCAUUAGUUGCUACAUUUAGUUGGGCACUCUAAUGAGACUGCCGGUGACAAACCGGAGGAAGGUGGGGAUGACGUCAAGUCCUCAUGGCCCUUAUAGGUGGGGCUACACACGUCAUACAAUGGCUGGUACAAAGGGUUGCCAACCCGCGAGGGGAGCUAAUCCCACAAAGCCAGUCGUAGUCCGGAUCGUAGUCUGCAACUCGACUACGUGAAGUCGGAAUCGCUAGUAAUCGUGGAUCAGAAUGUCACGGUGAAUACGUUCCCGGGUCUUGUACACACCGCCCGUCACACCAUGGGAGCGGGUUCUGCCAGAAGUAGUUAGCCUAACCGCAAGGAGGGCGAUUACCACGGCAGGGUUCGUGACUGGGGUGAAGUCGUAACAAGGUAGCCGUAUCGGAAGGUGCGGCUGGAUCACCUCCUUUAUG
rnacentral:rRNA from 1 species